rnacentral:rRNA from 1 species
GGCGGCGUGCUUACACAUGCAAGUCGAGCGGUAAGGCCCUUCGGGGUACACGAGCGGCGAACGGGUGAGUAACACGUGAGCAACCUGCCCCUGACUCUGGGAUAAGCGGUGGAAACGCCGUCUAAUACCGGAUACGACCCGCCACCUCAUGGUGGAGGGUGGAAAGUUUUUCGGUCAGGGAUGGGCUCGCGGCCUAUCAGCUUGUUGGUGGGGUAACGGCCUACCAAGGCGAUUACGGGUAGCCGGCCUGAGAGGGCGACCGGCCACACUGGGACUGAGACACGGCCCAGACUCCUGCGGGAGGCAGCAGUGGGGAAUAUUGCGCAAUGGGCGAAAGCCUGACGCAGCGACGCCGCGUGGGGGAUGACGGCCUUCGGGUUGUAAACCUCUUUUACCACCAACGCAGGCUUCCAGUUCUCUGGAGGUUGACGGUAGGUGGGGAAUAAGGACCGGCUAACUACGUGCCAGCAGCCGCGGUAAUACGUAGGGUCCGAGCGUUGUCCGGAAUUAUUGGGCGUAAAGAGCUCGUAGGCGGCGUGUCGCGUCUGCUGUGAAAGACCGGGGCUUAACUCCGGUUCUGCAGUGGAUACGGGCAUGCUAGAGGUAGGUAGGGGAGACUGGAAUUCCUGGUGUACCGGUGAAA